rnacentral:rRNA from 1 species
AACGAACGCUGGCGGCAUGCCUAACGCAUGCAAGUCGAACGAGACCUUCGGGUCUAGUGGUGCACGGGUGCGUAACGCGUGGGAAUCUACCCUUGGGUUCGGAAUAACAGUUAGAAAUGACUGCUAAUACCGGAUGAUGACGUAAGUCCAAAGAUUUAUCGCCCAAGGAUGAGCCCGCGUAAGAUUAGCUUGUUGGUGGGGUAAAGGCCUACCAAGGCGACGAUCUUUAGCUGGUCUGAGAGGAUGAUCAGCCACACUGGGACUGAGACACGGCCCAGACUCCUACGGGGGGCAGCAGUGGGGAAUAUUGGACAAUGGGCGAAAGCCUGAUCCAGCAAUGCCGCGUGAGUGAUGAAGGCCUUAGGGUUGUAAAGCUCCUUUACCAGGGAUGAUAAUGACAGUACCUGGAGAAUAAGCUCCGGCUAACUCCGUGCCAGCCGCCGCCGUAA